UGGCUGAGUGGUAAAGCGCUUGGCUUCCAAACCAUUGGGUCCUGGGUUCGAAUCCUGG
rnacentral:tRNA from 1 species